GGACAGCAGCAGAGAACUGUAGGUUGUGAUUUGACUCGCAGACAGCAUUGUUGUCUUGGGUUAGCCGCUACACCGUUUUCCAUGCUGGUGGCGAUUUGCAUCUGCGCUCUGCGAUCAACCCAGAGGGAAUAGAAAGCUCUAAUCCAAUCAGCAGGUCCCUGAAGUGCUGCCCCUGAGAGACAGAGAGAAACACAACAAUAGGAUCACUCCGCACUGGGCCCGGCCACAGAAGGCAGACAGGAAGGAGAAAAAAAGAAAAAAAGGAAUUGAGGAGGAAAGAGAUUGGAACUGAAGAGGAGAUGGAAAGACAGAAGAGUGAGAAAAGUGAAUGUUGUAAUUAAAGAAGGGAGGGGGUGGGAAUUUUGAGUCAGGUAAUGAAAGAACAAAGUAAGGGUUGGGUGGUUAGGUGGAAGAGAUGUCAGAGGAAGGAAAGUAUUGGAAGGGGAUUGAACAAGGACUUGGCAGAUAACUAAAACUUAAAAUGUGCACACAAGGAUUUGCUGUUGGAUGAGCAAAGUUUGAAAGACUAAUUAACAAGUUUAGCAUAACAAGUUUUAGAAAUUAAUAGCAUUACUACUGAAGUGGCAUUUUGCAGGACAGAAGGACAUUUCAUGGCAACGUCUCGGUUUUUAAUCUCUGAACAUUUGAAAGGACUGUGCUUACAUCAAGGAGCACUCCUGUUCUCAGACCAGAAGCAACAUUUUGAUCCAUUUAUCAUCAUUAUGAGGUGCAAAAGGCAGCCUAGAGUGGUGAUUAAGAACCGAAUCUGCUGUUGAUGAUGCCUGUCAUAUAUUCUGCCUGAUUAUACCUGCCCCCCCCCCAAUCUUUGCCCCCAGUCCACCAAUUUUUUAUAAGAUUUAUAAUCUCCAUCAUUGAUCGUUUGACCUCAAGUAUAAUUUGUAAUCAUCUUAAGGACAUAUACAUGCACACUCCUACAUGCAGGAAGCCACUUCAGAUGUUCUGGACAGGGUCACAUAUCCUUUAUGUGUUGUUUGAUACUUUUCUUAUUUUCAAAAUAAAACUUGUCUGUGUGCCAAUAAGGGGUGUAAAAAUAUAUUGACACACUGAUUCAUUCACAUACGCUAAUACAGCAUUUUCUAUUCAUUAUUUUUCUCCAUAAGCACACGUUAGUGAGCACAUUGAGUUAAAUGUGAAGUUCGGUAUCUUCCCGUGUCAUGUGUCAUAUCCUGACACUUCAGCAUAUGAAGGAGCUGGUUGUCAAACCACUAAGCUUCCAGUUGGAGGAUGUCCAUUACACCCACUAAGUUGCUAUCAACUAUAUAGAAGGUAUUUUUAAGCACAUCAGAAAUCCAACACUAACUUUAACUGAUA